UACGUAGGGUGCAAGCGUUGUCCGGAAUUAUUGGGCGUAAAGGGCUCGUAGGCGGUCCAUCACGUCGGGAGUGAAAAGCUGGGGCUUAACCCCAGUCCUGCUUCCGAUACGGGUGGACUAGAGGUAGGCAGGGGAGAACGGAAUUCCUGGUGUAGCGGUGAAAUGCGCAGAUAUCCGGAAGAACACCGGUGGCGAAGGCGGCCUGCUGGGGUGGAGCUGACGCUGAGGCGCGACAGCGUGGGGAGCAAACAGG
rnacentral:rRNA from 1 species